UUGCAGCAACAUAGAGAUUCUGUUCUAAUUUGGAUAAACUUGACAAGUCAGUUGCUUUGGAGAACAUGAAAGCUCCUGCUUUGUUCUCUGUCUUGAAUCACUCACUCCUGGGGAAGCCAGCUGCCAUGCUGUGAGCACAACUAAGCAGUCCUAUGGAGAAGUCCUUGUGAUGAGGAAUUGAGGCCUUCAGCCAAUAGUAUGUGAGUGAGCCAUCAUGGAAGCAGAUCCUCCUCUCCCUGUCAAGCUUCCAGAUGACUUCAGCCUUGGCUGACAUCUUGACUGCAAGCUCAUGAGACACUCUGAGCCAGAACUACCCAGCUAAGUGCUUCUAGAUUCCUGACUUACAGAUACUGUGUGAGAUAAUAAAUGUUUAUUGUUUUAAGCUGCUAAAUUUUGGGGUAAUUUGUUACACAGCAAUAUAUAAUACAUAGCAUAUGGGACCUGACCCAAGUUCUUCAUUCGUUCUAUAUUCUUCAAUAUAUUAUAGUAUUCUUCAAUAUUUUAUGGUAUUCUUCAUGUUGGAACUAUGUCCUUCUUGUUAAGUUUGUUAUGUCUUCUCCUAAGUAUUUUAAGGUUUUUGCCUGUAAUAUAAAUGAAUUUUUAAAAAUUUCCAUUUCUCUUUGUUUUUUGCAAGAUUAGAGCAAGACUAUUGAUUUUUAUGUAUUUCUCUUAUAGCCAAUAAUUUACCAAAUUCUCAUGUUCAUUCUAUACAUUUUUUUUUAACUAGAGUCUGUUGGGUCACUGGGAUAUACAAUCAUGUCAUCAGUAAGAAGGAAUUUCAAAAUAAAGGACUUCAACUUUUCUAAAA